CGGAUCAGAAUGCCGCGGUGAAUACGUUCCGGGUCUUGUACACACCGCCCGUCACACCAUGGGAGUCGGAAAUGCCCGAAGUCUGUGACCCAACCUACGGGAGGGAGCAGCCGAAGGCAGGUCGGAUGACUGGGGUGAAGUCGUAACAAGGUACC
rnacentral:rRNA from 1 species